UACGGGGGGAGCAAGCGUUGUUCGGAUUUACUGGGCGUAAAGGGCGCGUAGGCGGUCAGCACAAGUCAGUUGUGAAAUCUCCGGGCUUAACUCGGAACGGCCAAGUGAAACUGUCAAGCUAGAGUGCGGAAGGGGCAAUCGGAAUUCUUGGUGUAGCGGUGAAAUGCGUAGAUAUCAAGAGGAACACCUGAGGUGAAGACGGGUUGCUGGGCCGACACUGACGCUGAUGCGCGAAAGCCAGGGGAGCAAACGGG
rnacentral:rRNA from 1 species